AUUGAACGCUGGCGGAAUGCUUUACACAUGCAAGUCGAGCGGCAGCACGGGGGCAACCCUGGUGGCGAGCGGCGAACGGGUGAGUAACACCUCGCAACAUGCCCAGUCGUGGGGGAUAACACUUCGAAAUAAGUGCUAAUACCGCAUACGUCCUGAGGGAGAAAGCGGGGGAUCUUCGGACCUCGCGCGAUUGGCCUGGCCGAUGUCAGAUUAGCUAGUUGGUGGGGUAAAGGCCUACCAAGGCAACGAUCUGUAGCUGGUCUGAGAGGAUGAUCAGCCACACUGGGACUGAGACACGGCCCAGACUCCUACGGGAGGCAGCAGUGGGGAAUUUUGGACAAUGGGGGCAACCCUGAUCCAGCCAUUCCGCGUGAGUGAAGAAGGCCUUCGGGUUGUAAAGCUCUUUCGGCAGGAACGAAACGGCGAGCUCUAACAUAGCUUGCUAAUGACGGUACCUGAAGAAGAAGCACCGGCUAACUACGUGCCAGCCGCCGCGGUAAGAC
rnacentral:rRNA from 1 species